UGGGCGUAAAGGGCUCGUAGGCGGCGUGUCGCGUCGGAAGUGAAAGCCCGCUGCUUAACCGUGGGUCUGCUUCCGGUACGGGCAGGCUGGAGUAUGGCAGGGGAGACUGGAAUUCCUGGUGUAGCGGUGGAAUGCGCAGAUAUCAGGAGGAACACCGGUGGCGAAGGCGGCUCUCUGGGCCAUUACUGACGCUGAGGAGCGAAAGCGUGGGGAGCGAACAGGAUUAGAUACCCUGGUAGUCCACGCCGUAAACGUUGGGCGCUAGGUGUGGGGACUGUUUCCACGGUCUCCGUGCCGGAGCUAACGCAUUAAGCGCCCCGCCUGGGGAGUACGGCCGCAAGGCUAAAA
rnacentral:rRNA from 1 species